rnacentral:rRNA from 1 species
GACGAACGCUGGCGGCGCGCCUAACACAUGCAAGUCGAACGGAGCUGAGAGAAGCUUGCUUUUCUUAGCUUAGUGGCGAACGUGUGAGUAACGCGUGAGUAACCUGCCCUGGAGUGGGGGACAACAGUUGGAAACGACUGCUAAUACCGCAUAAGCCCACGAUCCGGCAUCGGAUUGAGGGAAAAGGCUUUAUUCGCUUCAGGAUGGACUCGCGUCCAAUUCGCUAGUUGGUGAGGUAACGGCCCACCAAGGCGACGAUUGGUAGCCGGACUGAGAGGUUGAACGGCCACAUUGGGACUGAGACACGGCCCAGACUCCUACGGGAGGCAGCAGUGGGGGAUAUUGCACAAUGGGGGAAACCCUGAUGCAGCGACGCCGCGUGGAGGAAGAAGGUUUUCGGAUUGUAAACUCCUGUCGUUAGGGACGAUAAUGACGGUACCUAACAAGAAAGCACCGGCUAACUACGUG